GAUGAACGCUGGCGGCGUGCCUAAUACAUGCAAGUCGAGCGAACGGACGAGAAGCUUGCUUCUCUGAUGUUAGCGGCGGACGGGUGAGUAACACGUGGAUAACCUACCUAUAAGACUGGGAUAACUUCGGGAAACCGGAGCUAAUACCGGAUGAUAUUUUGAACCGCAUGGUUCAAAAGUGAAAGACGGUCUUGCUGUCACUUAUAGAUGGAUCCGCGCUGCAUUAGCUAGUUGGUAAGGUAACGGCUUACCAAGGCAACGAUGCAUAGCCGACCUGAGAGGCUGAUAGGCCACACUGGAAGGGGGACAGGGUCAAGACUCCUACGGGAGGCAGCAGUAGGGAAUCGUCCGCAAUGGGCGAAAGCCUGACGGAGCAACGCCGCGUGAGUGAUGAAGGUCUUCGGAUCGUAAAACUCUGUUAUUAGGGAAGAACAUAUGUGUAAGUAACUGUGCACAUCUUGACGGUACCUAAUCAGAAAGCCACGGCUAACUACGUG
rnacentral:rRNA from 1 species